rnacentral:rRNA from 1 species
GACGUAGGGCGCGAGCGUUGUCCGGAUUUAUUGGGCGUAAAGAGCUCGUAGGCGGCUUGUUGCGUCGACCGUGAAAACCCGGGGCUCAACUUCGGGCUUGCGGUCGAUACGGGCGGGCUAGAGUUCGGUAGGGGAGACUGGAAUUCCUGGUGUAGCGGUGAAAUGCGCAGAUAUCAGGAGGAACACCGGUGGCGAAAGCGGCUUACUGGGUCUCUUACUGACGCUGAGGUACGAAAGCUAGGGGAGCGAAGGGG